rnacentral:lncRNA from 1 species
UGAGGGAGUCUUUUUCAACAAAACCAGCAGGACUCCAAGUUUUACUCCAGAAAAAUCAGUCUGCUACCCUGCUUCCGGCCAAGCUUCCUUCUCUAACUCAGAGAACCUCUCUGGAAGCUCUCAACAGCAGCCUAGAAAAUUUUUGGUUCCCUCCUCUUGCCCUCGUUUCUCUCUCAAACUAAACGACCACAAAAAUCCCCUCUCAACCUCUCUGUUAAAAACUCCUCCUGUAGCAGCCUUCUCUCCAAGCUAUCUCUCAAAAAAACCACCGGAAUCUCACUCUCGUCCGUUUUUCUCUCUAGUUCCUCUCCUUUCUCUAACUUUUCCUCUCCUCAGCAAAAAAAAACCUCUCAUCUCCUACCAAAAAUAGCUCCCCUCUGAUAACGAAUACUUUUUUUCUUUUUUUCCUACCAGAUUUGCCCUUCUAACAAUAUCUCCAGAAACAACCACCAAAAGCAACCCUACCCUCUACAGCCUCCUUUCUCUCUCUCAUAUGCGCCCCCUAACGGCUUGCAGAAUUCUUUUCCAGAAUGUUCCUCCACGUGUCAUCCUCAUAUUUGUCUCCCAAAAAGCAAGGUUGAUUCUCUUAUGGCCACUAAGGAUUUGACACGUGGCUCGUUGGGGGUAGUGACACCUAGCUAAAAGAUCUGUAAGAAAAUGAGGAAAAUAAGCCCCUAAAAUGGGGGUUUACAAAUAUACCCCUCUUCGAUAGAGUUCACGAGUGUAAGGCAUAUGAACACUGGAGUAAAAAGAAAGUGUGAAUAAUGAGUGGAAUGGAGUGAACUCUAUCGAAAAACUAGGAGACCCCCAAAAGGAUGUUAGUGAAACACGGACUCAAAAGGCUAACAAAUGAAUAAAAGACUCUAAUCCUAAGAGAAAAUGAUGUCUCAAAUGCCUCUGAAGCCGCACUAAGGACUCAGGCUCCCUCUAAGACGUCUCCAAAAGUGACUUGAAAAACCAGAUCGAAGAUGAGUGUCAGUCGAACCACUCUGGAGAAUAGAAAAGAUUACGCCCAAAGGAGGUUGCCCUAUGCGAACUACAUGAGAAUGCCAAGUGCAGGGUGCCCCACAACAUGACUAAAGUACGAGUCGUGAACUCAAAUGACUAUGUCAUGUGCGGAGAAACAGGAAUUUGGACGAGCAAUGAUGAGUAAGCAAUAAGCACAGGGUAACGAGGUGAGAUAAGUGAGGCUAAAUGCAAAAUCAUGAAGACAAGAUGUGUAAAGCCAGUGAAUAUAUAUGCUAGGGACCAUGACUUUGAAUGAUACGAUUGAGGAGAAAUGACUUUAACUAUCAAAAAAAGGAAAGAAAGUGGUGACUCGAGAUGUCUGAAUAGGUAUGUACAAUGGCUUUGAAUGCCAAAACUAAGAAAAAGAUGAUAGUGGUACUAAAUGCCAAACAGAACAGUGGCUCUGAACUCCAACACUAAGGAAAGAAACGACUCAAGAUGCCUGAAUGGGUAUGACAAACAGCUUUGAAAGCCAAAACUAAAGAAAAGAAAUGACUCAAAAGACCCGAAGAAGUGUGCCCAAUGGCUCUGAACGCUAGAAUGGAGGAAAAUGGUGAUGGAUUGAACGAAAGAUGGACAUGAGGACUCUGAGUGUCGAACUAAAACCACGACUCUGAACUCUAAAUAAAAAAAAAAACAAAUCAUGGCUCUGAACACCAAAUGAAGAUGUGGCUCUGAACGCCAAAUGAAGAUGUGGAUCUGAAUGUCGUAACGAAGAUAAGUAAUAGCUCUGAACGUCGAAAUGGAUGAUGUAAUGGCUCUGAAUGCAGAAUGAAGACGUGGCUCUGAAUGCUGAACGGAGACGUAGCUCUGAAUUUCGAAAGAAGAUGUGACUCUAAAGGCCGAACAAAGCAAAACAUGGCUCUGAAUGCCGAACGAAGAUGAGUAGUGGCUCUGAACACUGAAGCGGAGAUGUACUGGCUCUAAAUGCCGAACAAAGAUAUGGCUCUGAACGCCGAAGCUGAGAAGCGAUGGUGAUGACUCUGAACGUCAAACUGAAAACCGAUUAUGGCUCUGAACGCCGAAACUGGGAAGUGAUGAUGAUGACUCUGAAUGUCAAACUGAAAACACGAUGAGGAUGGCUCUGAACGUCGAAACUGAGAAGCGAUGAUGACGACUCUGAACCUCAAAACUAAAAAAAUGUGACUCUGAACGUCAAACUGAAAAAAUGCGAUGAUGGCUCUGAAUGCCGAAACUGAGAAUGUGACUCUGAACGUCAAACUAAGAAGUGAUGAUGGCUCUAAACGCCGAAACUGAGAAGUGGUGGUGACAACUCUGAACCCCGAAAUUGAGAAGCGAUGAUGACGACCCUAAACAUCAAACUGAAAACAUGAUGAUGGCUCUAAACGCCGAAACUGAAAAGUGAUGGUGGCUCUAAACGCCGAAACUGAAAAAUGCAAUGAUGGCUCUGAACACCGAAACUGGAAAGUGAUGAUGAUGACUCUGAACGUCAAACUGAAAAAUGCAACUCUGAACGUCAAACUGAAAAAUGCGACUCUGAACGUCAAACUGAAAACCGAUGAUGGCUUUGAACGCCGAAACUGAAAAGCGACAAUGAUGGCUCUGAACGCCGAAAUUGAGAAACGAUGAUGGCUCUGAACGCCAAAACUGGAGAAGUGGUGAUAAACGCCGAACUGAAAGUGUGACAUGAUGACUCUGAAUGUCGUAAACCGUGAAUGAACGGUGGCUCUGAACGCUAAACUGCAAGGAAAUGAUGAGGGGGGAAAUAUGCCCCAGUGUGGCAUACCGCUGCAAAUCUCAAUCCGCUGGAAGGGUCUGAAAGAGAUUCCAUGGGGAUGCGUAAAAGAUCUGACAUGUGUCCUACUAAAAUGAUGAUGUGGGAAUCCAUGCACCUGAGAUAACUCCGUCCAAGAAUCACGACUAUAUCAGAGAGUAUGAAUCUAGUUGAACAACUCAAAAGAGGCUCCUCGGAGUAUCAGUACAAAAUGAAAUCGAAUCAUCAACCUGACGUGUAUAUCAUAACCGGGGUGAUCACGCAAAUCAGUGGGGAAUCUGCAAAUCCCAAACGAAAUGGGGAAUAUGCCCCCAGUGUGGCAUCAAAAAUGCAACAAGUCGAAAAAUCAGAUGAGCUCAAAUCGUCCAUGUCUGCAACUGAAUUAGGCCCUCAAAUCAAGGAGGCGUCUCCCAGAAGGGAGCAUGACGACAUCUAAGUGUCGAGAAGUGCAGGCCUAACAGGGCAACUCUCAAGAAGCUCCACUAAGGAAUCAUCAUGAAGACAGCGAAUAGAUCAUCAUCUCGACGUACGUCUCGCAAAUAGGGAUAAGCAUGUAACUCCACCAAGAUUUGUAAAUCUCAUCCAGAACGGAAAUAUGCCCCAGUGUGGCAUCAAAUGUAUGAUAGGUCGAAAAUCAAGUGACAUGGAAUCAUCUAUCAUCGAACAUGUGAUCUCAGUCAUCCAAAACUAUGACAGAAUCGGGUCUAAGCGUCCAAAAGUCAUCUCACAGGGAUAAUCAUGGUGGCAUCGGAAUGCCGAGAAGUGUGGGCCUAACUGGAUGGCUCCCAAGAGGCUUUACUAAGGAAUCAUCAUAAGAAUGGCGAAUAGGUCAUCGUCUCGGUGCACAUCUCACAAGUAGGAAUGAUCAGGUGACUCCAUGAAGAUCCAUAAAUGUCAUCCGAAAUGGAAUAUACCCUAGUAUGGCAUCGUAUGUGUGACAAAUUAGGAAAACAAAGUGACAUCGAAUCAUCCAUCAUCAAACACGUGAUCCCGGUAAUCCAAACACGGUUGAAACGAAUCUAAACAUCAGAGAGGUGUCUCCUAGAAGAAUAAGCAUGACGACAUCUAAAUGUCAACCAAAUCUCAAACAGCUGUCCAAAUAGAAGUUGUAGAAGAGGAUAUCUGAUCCCAUGGCCUCAUGGUGGUCUCAAGACACGGGACGUUACAUAGGCUAGGGUGAUAGGAUGAUAGAAACGAAGAGAAACUAAACUCAAAUACCCAAUGAUCAAAACUCAUGCCCUCAUGUAUGAAAUGCAACAAGUAUAGUAAAUCCCGUGAGCCAUGGACACGAGGGUGCCUAAUGUGAACAUAGUGUCGAUGAAGAGACAAAUAAAACAAAACGAACUGAUAAUGAGAUGUAUAAUGAUGAUGCAAAGAGAGUAUCAAACCCGAAAAUGGGUCACUGUAAGAAAAGAAUAAAAGGUGAAAUGAAAAAUAUGAAUCAGAAGUGAAAACGAGGAUGAUGAUGAAGCACAGAACACGAAAAUGAGUUAUGAUCCGCUUAAAUCAAAUAUGCAGGGAAGUCAUGUCAAUAACGAAUGCAAUGAAAUGACCCAGAGCUCCUAAGAGAAUGACACUCAUCCUGCUCUCAAAAUACACGACAAAUGAAUACGAAGAAUGAAACAUCCCAAGGAGCUCACAUACGAACUCCUAUCAAUAGACGUACCCAACAAAGUGACCCUCGAACACUGAUAUACACACUCAAUGAUAAAGAAUAUCAUACAUCCAUGCACUUAUUUAUUUUUCUUUUUUUUACAUAUAUAUACAUGCUCUGAACGCAAACUAAGAAACCCCAAAGAUGACGUCAAAAAAGGAUAAACAUACUCUCAAAUGUCAAUGUAACAUGAACUCUCUCUAAUGAUGUGACCUUCUCAAACUCAGGAUCCCUGGACCAACAUCCGUAGGAUAGAUAGUGAAAAUGACAUGACUACCCUCCAUGUAAUGAACUGAGGAGGAUCACCACUCGGGAUGGAAGAAGAUGAUACGAGACAGGCAACAAAUAUAAUAACAAAGAUGAGAUGAAUAAUACAACCAAUGAGAUGAGAUGAAAUGUAAUGAUGCAACCAUAAAGAGAAGAAAACGAGGUGAAUGUGCCCUUAGGUCCAAGGCUCAUGAAACUCCCAAACAAUGCAUGCAUACACUAAAGAGCCCCUAACCCGGUGUGAAAGUGUGAGCAAAGUAAUAAGAAAGAAAGGCUAUAACAUGCACACGAAGCUCAAUGGGCUAGCAAUGGACUAUAUAUCAAAAUGGAAUAAAGGGAUAUGGCUAACUGAAAUGAUGGCCACCCAUCCUGCGACCAUGGACUCAAACAUAGUACCUCUUUAGCUGAUCCACAUUGGUCGGCUCUGAGAACUAGUUUCCAUCUAAAUCCAUCAACCAUGCAGCACCCUCUGGAGUUAACUCCCUGAUGAAAUAAGGCCCGCCCCAACUGGGUCUGAACUUCCCUCUAGGAUCUCUGAUCAAACCUCUGAUGACUUUCAAGACUAAGUCGCCUAUAUGCAAUGGCCUAGGCUUGACCUGCUUUUUGAAAGCGCGGGCCAUCUUCCUCUGAUAUGCACGAACAUGGUCUGCUGCUCUCAAUCUCCUCUCAUCCAGGAGAUUGAGCUGAUCAAAUUGAGUCUGAGCCCAAUCCGCCUUGGGAAUCUGCUGCUCUAGUGCUACUCUCAAUGAACCCAUCUCGAUCUCAACUGGUAGCACCGCCUCCAUACCGUAUACUAAUGAAUAGGGUGUGGCUCCUGUAGAGGUGCGAAAAGAAGUCUAAUAUGCCCACAAUGCGAAUGGGAGCUUCUCUGACCAAUCCUGAGAAGUCUCAACCAUCUUUCGCAAUAUCCUCUUAAUAUUCUUAUUCGCGGCCUCUAUUGCCCCAUUCAUCUACAACCUAUACGCAGACAACCUAUGAUGCUGGAUGUCGUAUCUCUGUAUUAAGGUGUCAACCUCUACUCUGAAAUGUCAACUCAUGAGAGACUCCAUAGCGACAGAUAAUAUGUGAUCUGAUGAAACUAGCGACUCCAACUGAUGUCAAUCUCGCAUAUGGGGCGGCCUCCACCCACUUGGUGAAGUAAUCGAUGGCGACCAGGAUGAACUCAUGACGAUUGGAAGAUUUCGAUGAAAUCUUCCCGAUGAUGUCAAUACCCCAUACGGAAAAUGGCCAUGGCGAAGUAAGCGCAUGCAACUCGGAGGGCGGCACGUGAAUGAGAUCUCCGUGUAUCUGACACUCGGGACAUCUCUGAACAAACUGGUAAUAAUCCAUCUCCAUGGUCAACUAGACAUCCUAGGGGGUUUCCUAUGGUGAAACCUCUCAAACUCUCAACGCUCAAAAGUCAACUAGAGUGCGCAGUGAACGGUGUGGGUGCAUCUGAUAACCCUAAAAAGCUAAAACGGAAAAGAAAACACACUGGCCACACAAAUAUCCAUGAAACCUAGCUCCGGGCUAUACAAGUCUUCAAUGAUCGGACUCUAAUCGACAUCAAAGUGUCGCUCUCCUCCAAAAUGCUCCUGUACAUCGAUAUAGCCCAUCGCUAAACCCUACUCCUAAUCUCUGGCUCAGUCAGAGAGCAAGCAUACAGAAGGUCUCACACUUGCAAUAGUGAGAACCGGGAUGAAAGGAAUGAUCAAAACCAAGAGAGUUGGAGGUAGGGGGAUAGAAGUGCGACCCACAUAGACAGGCGACAUGCAAUCAUGCAGAAGGAGGGCAGUCAUGCAACAUACAGUCAAGCAGAGCAUAGGAUAUAUCACUCAUGCACACAUACAAGCUAUGACGAUCAGAUGAAAAACAAUACAGACAUCAUGCUCAAAGACGAUCGGGAUAAUAUACAAGCCAGAGGAAACAACACAGCAAGUCAAACGAUGUGCAAUAGUGAGUUUAUGCAUGUGAAGUGAGCAGAAUAAUUAGGAAGAAUCAGAAUCGCUAUACCAAGCAAAACAAGAUGAGCAAUCUAUGAUAAUCGGCAUGUCAAUGUACCAAACUAAUCUAGCAAUGAAGUACAUAAAAAGCGACAUCCAAAGCCCCAAUCAAGAUAAUCAAUCAUAUCAAUGUCCCAACACAAUAUCCAAGCAUGCAUCAAAAACUCCCAAUGUGCAAUCAAGAGACAGGUACUCAUUGAUCGACUCAUCAAAUGCCAUGUUUGCUUCAUCUUAAGUUCAAACUUGACCCUCUAAACAAUCCCCAGCGGAGUCGCCAUUUUGUGGACCCCGCAUUUCGGCUCAUGCGUUUUCCACUCGAUGGCGAGCUCGAUUAUUAUUUGAAAAAUGAUUUUAUUGAUUAAGAAAAAUGACUUGGAGUCACCACUUAUUUUUGUUUUAUUUUAAAAGGGUAAACAAAAUAAGAAAGAAAACCCUAAGUGUGACUCCUUAUUUUGGAAAAGGUGAUCUACGAAAAACCAGAUCGGGUUCGGGGGUCAGGUUACUUAUCGGGAAGGUACGGUAAAAAAUGUAGUACCCCUCUAAGUCCCUAAAGUCGGGUCUCUACUAAUAAAAAUGAAGCUGACAUGGCAAUUGAUGUGGAGAUCAAUGAAUACUCAUGGUGAUCAUGCACAUGUGAGAAUCAACACUACUACAAAAAUAGUUUAUGGUGUCACUAUUUACGGUGUCACUUUUAAAAUAAUGACACCAUAGGGUUUAUAAUUAAUAAAUGUGACACAUCAUAUAAAAAAUCUUCAAUUGAGGUAGUUAGAUGAUAUUAAUUUUAUAUUUAUGGUGUCAUUUUUUGGGAAGUGACAUCAUAUAAAAUAAUUUUUUUUAAGUAUUAUAACUUAAUGAGCCCACUUUUAGAAUUAAUAAUGAUGGAUACCAUAUAAAAAUCCCAUUGUUUCCAUAUCUCACCCACAAUCCAAAAAAUCUCAAUAUAUAAAUCCUAUAUAUAAAAUCAUGAUCUUCUUCAACCUUUUCUCUCACCCAUCCAUAGUCAACACGCUCAAAACCGACAUUCUUCACUUUGUGGACUCCCAAGUAACCCAAAAUCUCUUGGAUCUAUCAUUUUUUUUUCUUUUAUUAAUGCCAUUAUAUUAAUUGUUUCAACAUCUUUGUAUUAUGGUUUUUGUGAAUUGUGUUUUCUUGAGUUGUAGGGAAGAAAAAUUUAGGUUUAAUCUUCUAGCAUGGAAAAAAAAACUAUAGAUUAAUUGAUUUUUUUAAUCUAAACAAAACACAUNNNNNNNNNNNNNNNNNNNNNNNNNNNNNNNNNNNNNNNNNNNNNNNNNNNNNNNNNNNNNNNNNNNNNNNNNNNNNNNNNNNNNNNNNNNNNNNNNNNNUAGCUAGAUAUUUUAUUUGAUUUAUUUUUAUAUUUAAGUAGUUGAGUUUGGAAAGUUUUAUAUUUUGUAAUAGAAAUAGAAAUUUUAUAUUUUUUAUUAUUAGGAAUUUCUAUUUUGUUAAAUUGUAAGUAUCUAUCUCAAUAAGAGAUUAUUAAUAUUCAAAUGAAAGUGAUGAAAGAGAGUAGAUAUUUUAAUGCUCAAUUAUAUUUUAAUGUUUUUUUUUUUUUACAUAAGGGUUUAUUUAUGUUUUCAAUUUUGAAGUUCCCUUUCCAAGUCCAGCAACAAAAGUAGUGUCUAACCUUAAAAUGGGCAUGUGUGGUAUUGACAGGAAAUGAUAAGAUGGAAAUCAUAACCAUAGCCAUGUUCUCUCUGUGUCUUUCUAUCCUCUUCAGUUAAUUCAUGGGCAUAGAUAUUUUAUUUAGUUUUUAUAUUUAGUUUAUUUAUAGUUUAUUUAGUUUCUAAAAUCCAAUUAGCUAGAUAUUUUAUUUGAUUUUGUUUUUAUAUUUAAGUAGUUGAGUUUUGGAAAGUUUUUAUAUUUUGUUAAUAGAAAUAGAUAUGAGGACUUAAAGGGUUUAUAUUUAGGUAGUGCUUGAGCCAAGGAAAAUGAUAGUCCACUAUCUUGACCCUAUGCAUCACAAACCAUGUGAGGACUUAAAGGAUAUCGUAAACAUGUAAGUUCUUCCUAUUAUUUUUCAUAGUAUUAUUUUUAAAUAAAAAAAAAUACAUUCACCUCAAACUCAUUUUUUUUAUUAUUUAUAUAUAUUAUAACAUAUAACAUUUACCUAUUUUAAAAAUGUACCCAUUGAACUUAUUUACAUAGGGCUCUUUGAAUAUUUGCAAAGAAAACAUCUAAGAGGGAGCCAUCUUAGCAACUAGUGCAGGUGACAUCCAAAAAUUUUUCUUUACACAUUAGCUUAUGCAUUUGCACCAUUUAUAUAUGUGAGUACUAAUGUUAUUUUAUAAUUGAUCGAUUAGUGUCCAAGACAAGAAGGAGGGUUCGAAUGUGGCUACUUUGUUAUGAGAUUCAUUAAAGAGAUAAUUUUUUAUCCUACAAUUAUUGCUUCAAAGGUAUUACUUAUUUAAUGAAUUGUACAUAGUUUUAGGCUUCCAAAUGUUAUGCAUUUUAAUGUUAUUUUCUUAUUUGAUUUCAGUUUGGUAAUAAAAAAAAAAACAUAUUCUCAAGUAGAAUUCGAUGAAAUUAGAGGAGAAUGGGCUACUUUUGUGCUACAACUAAUCAUGAAUCAUGUUGAUGCAUCAUGAUCACCAUGCAUGGUGAGUCCCUUAGCUACUACAUGAAUUUUUCCAUAGGUAUUGUAUAGUAAUGCUUAUCUUUGAAUAAUGUUUCUAUUUGAAAAAAAAAUAAUUCUAGAUUUGUCAUUAUGAUACAUAGAUCCAUGUUUAUUUUCUCAUAAAAUCUCUAAACUCAUAAAUUUUGAANNNNNNNNNNNNNNNNNNNNNNNNNNNNNNNNNNNNNNNNNNNNNNNNNNNNNNNNNNNNNNNNNNNNNNNNNNNNNNNNNNNNNNNNNNNNNNNNNNNNUUUUUGGGAAGUGACAUCAUAUAAAAUAAUUUUUUUUAAGUAUUAUAACUUAAUGAGCCCACUUUUAGAAUUAAUAAUGAUGGAUACCAUAUAAAAAUCCCAUUGUUUCCAUAUCUCACCCACAAUCCAAAAAAUCUCAAUAUAUAAAUCCUAUAUAUAAAAUCAUGAUCUUCUUCAACCUUUUCUCUCACCCAUCCAUAGUCAACACGCUCAAAACCGACAUUCUUCACUUUGUGGACUCCCAAGUAACCCAAAAUCUCUUGGAUCUAUCAUUUUUUUUUCUUUUAUUAAUGCCAUUAUAUUAAUUGUUUCAACAUCUUUGUAUUAUGGUUUUUGUGAAUUGUGUUUUCUUGAGUUGUAGGGAAGAAAAAUUUAGGUUUAAUCUUCUAGCAUGGAAAAAAAAACUAUAGAUUAAUUGAUUUUUUUAAUCUAAACCAAACACAUGAUCAAGUCCUUAAAAAAAAGUGAAAAACAGGAAAAAAUGAAUGAUUUUUAAUAUGUAUUUGUGUGAGAAUGACAGGUACAAAAUUUUUUUAAGAUAUACUAUCAUAUAAUCUUCAUCCUUUCUAAAAAACGAGAGAGGAAAAAAAAAGAAUGAUUUUUCUGUUUGUAUCUAAGUGGGAAUGAGAUAUAGAAUUUCGUUAAGAGUAUCCAACCCCAAAAGGACCAAUCCGGGAAGGCAUGUGUGGUAUUGACGGGAGAUGAUAAGAUGGAAAUCAUAACCAUAGUCAUGUUCUCUCUGUGUCUUUCUAUCCUCUUCAAUCAAUUCAUGGGCAUAGAUAUUUUAUUUAGUUUUUAUAUUUAGUUUAUUUAUAGUUUAUUUAGUUUCUAAAAUCCAAUUAGUUAGAUAUUUUAUUUGAUUUUGUUUUUAUAUUUAAGUAUUUGAGUUUUGGAAAGUUUUUAUAUUUUGUUAAUAGAAAUAGAAUUUUUAUAUUUUUUAUUAUUAGGAAUUUCUAUUUUGUUAAAUUGUAAGUAUCUAUCUCAAUAAGAGAUUAUUAAUAUUCAAAUGAAAGUAAUGAAAGAGAGUAAAUAUUUUAAUGCUCAAUUAUAUUUUAAUGUUAUUUUUUUUUUUUUACAUAAGGGUUUAUUUAUGUUUUCAAUUUUGAAGUUCCCUUUCCAAGUCUAACAACAAAAGUAGUGUCCAAUCUUAAAAUGGGCAUGUGUGGUAUUGACGGGAGAUGAUAAGAUGGAAAUCAUAACCAUAGCCAUGUUCUCUCUGUGUCUUUCUAUCAUCUUCAAUUAAUUAUGGGCAUAGAUAUUUUAUUUAGUUUUUAUAUUUAGUUUAUUUAGUUUCUAAAAUCCAAUUAGCUAGAUAUUUUAUUUGAUUUUAUUUUUAUAUUUAAGUAGUUGAGUUUUGGAAAGUUUUUAUAUUUUGUUAAUAGAAAUAGAAAUUUUAUAUUUUUUAUUAUUAGGAAUUUCUAUUUUGUUAAAUUGUAAGUAUCUAUCUCAAUAAGAGAUUAUUAAUAUUCAAAUGAAAGUGAUGAAAGAGAGUAGAUAUUUUAAUGCUCAAUUAUAUUUUAAUGUUUUUUUUUUUUUACAUAAGGGUUUAUUUAUGUUUUCAAUUUUGAAGUUCCCUUUCCAAGUCCAGCAACAAAAGUAGUGUCUAACCUUAAAAUGGGCAUGUGUGGUAUUGACAGGAAAUGAUAAGAUGGAAAUCAUAACCAUAGCCAUGUUCUCUCUGUGUCUUUCUAUCCUCUUCAGUUAAUUCAUGGGCAUAGAUAUUUUAUUUAGUUUUUAUAUUUAGUUUAUUUAUAGUUUAUUUAGUUUCUAAAAUCCAAUUAGCUAGAUAUUUUAUUUGAUUUUGUUUUUAUAUUUAAGUAGUUGAGUUUUGGAAAGUUUUUAUAUUUUGUUAAUAGAAAUAGAUAUGAGGACUUAAAGGGUUUAUAUUUAGGUAGUGCUUGAGCCAAGGAAAAUGAUAGUCCACUAUCUUGACCCUAUGCAUCACAAACCAUGUGAGGACUUAAAGGAUAUCGUAAACAUGUAAGUUCUUCCUAUUAUUUUUCAUAGUAUUAUUUUUAAAUAAAAAAAAAUACAUUCACCUCAAACUCAUUUUUUUUAUUAUUUAUAUAUAUUAUAACAUAUAACAUUUACCUAUUUUAAAAAUGUACCCAUUGAACUUAUUUACAUAGGGCUCUUUGAAUAUUUGCAAAGAAAACAUCUAAGAGGGAGCCAUCUUAGCAACUAGUGCAGGUGACAUCCAAAAAUUUUUCUUUACACAUUAGCUUAUGCAUUUGCACCAUUUAUAUAUGUGAGUACUAAUGUUAUUUUAUAAUUGAUCGAUUAGUGUCCAAGACAAGAAGGAGGGUUCGAAUGUGGCUACUUUGUUAUGAGAUUCAUUAAAGAGAUAAUUUUUUAUCCUACAAUUAUUGCUUCAAAGGUAUUACUUAUUUAAUGAAUUGUACAUAGUUUUAGGCUUCCAAAUGUUAUGCAUUUUAAUGUUAUUUUCUUAUUUGAUUUCAGUUUGGUAAUAAAAAAAAAAACAUAUUCUCAAGUAGAAUUCGAUGAAAUUAGAGGAGAAUGGGCUACUUUUGUGCUACAACUAAUCAUGAAUCAUGUUGAUGCAUCAUGAUCACCAUGCAUGGUGAGUCCCUUAGCUACUACAUGAAUUUUUCCAUAGGUAUUGUAUAGUAAUGCUUAUUCUUUGAAUAAUGUUUCUAUUUGAAAAAAAAAAUUAAUUCUUAGAUUUGUUCAUUUAUGAUAACAUAGAUCCAUGUUUAUUUUCUUCAAUAAAAAUCUCUAAAACUCAUUAAAUUUUGAAAUGCAGGUAUACACUCUUGGGAGGGUGAAAUGGAGAAUAAAAAGGAAGAAGAAGGCAACAAGAUUUUGGGUUUUUAAAUGCAACUCUUAUGUCAUACGUUGUAGGACAUAAACGUUACUUUAAUUGCAAUUGAGAAAUUUAGAUUUUUAGAUGGGACUUUUAUGUCAUUUUAUGGUUAGCUGGUUUUAUGCUUAUGAAAUGGAGGUAUACAUGAAUCUUGGGAUCUUUAACAUUUCUAAAUCAUGUUUUGGUAUGUAUUCACUCUUCUUUUUUAGUUUUGAUGGGUUUGAUAUGUUGGACGUACUAUCCUUUUGUGAACAUUUGAUAUACAAAUAUUAUUAGAUGAUCAAUGUAUUAUGAGUUAUUCCAGAAACAUUACAGAAAAAUGAGUUAAAUAUAAUAUGAUUGUUAUAUUUAUGGACAAAAUAUAAACAGGUUAAUCUUAUUAAUUCAUAAGCAUUACAAAAAUCAACAACUAAAACCAAUCAUAUAUUCCACAAUAAUUUACAAUGAUGUGAUACCAUAACUCAAAAGUGAUGCAUUUAAUGUGACAUCAUAACUCAAAGAUGAUGUAUUUAAUGUGACACCUUAUCAUCACUAGAAAUAUAUGGUGUCACUUCUGAAUGGGUCACCAUUUAUCUACUUUGGUGUCACUUCCAAAUACGUCACCAAUUGGUACCCUCUAUGGUGUCAGUGGAGAAGGUGACACUAUGUUGUAGUGACACCUUAUGUUUAUGGUGACUCGUUAUAAAUGUCACCAUAUACCUUUUUCCUUGUAGUGCAAAACACUCAAUGAAGAACGACUGAAGUGAGAACGGGGCAUACCUUGGCAUCAAACGAUCAAUACGCUAUCAAGAAAGAUGGUUAGUAUACAAUUUAAGAAUAAUCUUAUGCAUGUCAUAGAACAAGAAUGAAUCAAUCAUGUAUAAUAAUCAAAUCAAUCAAUCAAUUAUAAAAUCACUUAUGUGGGGCCCCCACCAAAGCCCGUUUAUUUUUGCAUGAAUUAAUUUCACAAGUUCCAUUAUUCGAAAUUACGGAAUUUAAUUCAUGCUUAUUUAAAAACAUUUUAAAAAUAGAGGAGAUGUAAGUAUUGCUCGCCAUAAAAGAAAAUGGCAAUAAAUUUUAUUGAAAAUGAUACUCCUGGAUGAUCUAAAAACUAAGGAUGCAAUAUGGAAGAGUUUGAAGUUAUUUGAAAACCUAUUUCUUUAAAGACAGGCAUGAAAAUGAAUGAAGAAACAUAGGUUCUGAAAAGAAGCACAAGAGGAUGGCCAUACAAUUUUAGGAUUGUGCAUGCGGGCCCGAAGUACAACCCCCAAUGCUGAGUAUGGGGUGACCAAUGAAAACGGGACAAUUUGGGGGGGGGGGNNNNNNNNNNNNNNNNNNNNNNNNNNNNNNNNNNNNNNNNNNNNNNNNNNNNNNNNNNNNNNNNNNNNNNNNNNNNNNNNNNNNNNNNNNNNNNNNNNNNGGGGGGGGGGCGGGGGCACCUUCAGGCUAGGCACUUAUCAACCUUCUAGAUAAGCAUUACAGGCCCCAUCAAAGUCACCCAAAAAGCAAGUUUGUUCGCAGCAAUGAAUUCUUGGAUGUCAACCAAAGUCAGAGUUUACGUGCUAGCUCAGCAUGGCAGUCAGUCUUUGCUGAGUCAAUAAGUAAUAGAACUGAAACAAACCAUAAAUACUUCGCUACAGAUUCCACUAUUUCGUUUUGCUCCAAAGAGUGCACCAAACGCUUUCAUGCCUUACAAGGAGGCCACGUAUGAAUCGUCAAUACCCGUGGCCUUGAUGCGGCUGCUGAUGAGUUCACCACUCUGGUUGCUCGAUAGGGAAAGUUGUCGGCCUGGGCGUUGCACUAUUAUUCAGCACUUAGCCAGCUACAGAGAAUAAAAAAAAACAACUGCAUAAUCACAGCCUGGAGCGGGACACCAUUUGACAUUCCUAUUAUCUUCAAUAUAGUGUUUUCUUUUUGCACUAGUUUCAAAGAACUUGAUACCAUACUCAUCAGCAAGACUUGCAUCGUUCCUAGGAAUGGAACUAGGGCUGCGCUGUGGGGAAGAUAAAGUUGCCUCUGGUGUGUCCACACCCGCACACAGCCAAACCCAUGUGGGGUCCAUGGCAGAGCAAUGGAGGGAUUGAUUUCAACAGCAGGGUGGUACCACAUGUCUUGAUAAUAAUCUUGGUGGGGUAGACAAACAGACUCGAUUCCGACAACACAUGCGCGUCGAAGUAGUGGUUUCUCACCAGCGACACCACAGUUCAUGGCACAACAUGCAGCACCUGCUCCAGCAAUUCGAAAUCCAGUGUUGGAGACCCAUUCCGACCAUAGGAUCAUUACCGGAGAAGUGGAGCUCCAGGCGAUUCUCGAAGCCUGCUGGAAAUCUUACAAUAUGCAUUCCGACUAUACAUCGACUAUGCUCACCAUCAAUAGAAAAAUCACCAACAGGUAUCUUAUCUCCAUGAGCAAACCCAAAUGAUGCCAAAAAGUCAUUUAGAGCAUGAAAGCAGACGAGCAUGAAGGAAUGGAUGUUCAUCUACUCCGGUCUCAAUGUCUUCAGCUAUUAAUCUUUCCAGAAGGUCCCUCAUGCUGAUUCUGGUCAUUCAUGAAACCUCGGCUUCCAACUAUUGCUCUGACAACGAAGCCAAAGCAAAAAUAGUAGCCUAUCUUAUUUUUCACCAGACUGUAGAACCAGCAACUUUUCCCUGAUGGGACUCAUUUAAUCCAUUUGCAACAACCUUGAACUCUGUUUCCGUGAGGCUUGAGAAAUUCUGAACGAACUGAUUCAAACACUUUAAAACCCCCGUUCUUAUGCUCCAACCAUCAGGAUCUUUGAAUUGCACCGGAUGCUCUAAGAUGGUAUAGAACUGAUCCAUCCAUGGUUUAAGCAUUGACAUCAUCAAAUCACUGGUUUCUGUCUUAUAUACACUAGUCAUCACACCCAACAUGGAAGUGCAAGCAUAAACUGUUAAAGGUGCUUUUGUGCGUGAAGAUUUAUCAUAAAUCUGAGGAGAUGAAACAAUUGUAUGUGAGCAUGGGAACAAAACAGGCACUAGUUUUGGCACCAUUGUGUCAUCCCAAAUCCCCAAAAGGAAUGUGCCAAGCAUAUUAGAGCUCCAUGCAUCCGGACAUUCUCCAACUGAUCUUAUUCUCAAGUUGUCUGCAAUUCUUCAUGUCUCGGGUUCUUCUUCCUUCUCUGACAAAGCCUAUUCUCUAGAACUCUUCUCAGCUCAAACAAGUUUCCUCUCUGGAUGUCUUCAGCUUGUUUACUUCUUCAGUCAAAACAACCUCUGUAAAAUAUCUCUUAAAACCCAAUACGUUCCUUUCAACCGUAAUAGAUCUCUGUGAGAGUGUUCAGCUAGACUUGGAUAUACCUUCUCACAGCCGUUGCCUUGAGAAAGAUCCAAAAAAAAUAGGAGCCAUAACAAAGCAGAAUCCACAGAAAACAGAACACAAAAGAAAACGAGUAAAAGUGAUCAUCAGAGGCUUCACUUCAUGAGUUAUCCGUGAGUCCUCUGAUUAGGUGAGAAAAAUAAAAUAUCGAAUGUAGAUAUUGGCAUGAUUCUUGGGCGUUUCACAACAGAGACAAGACAUGCUCAGAUUAACAAUACCAAACAUGAAUGCAAGGUUAUAUCUCAACAAGCAACAAGUGGCCUUCAUUAUCCACUCCAAACAAAUCAACGAAUAUUCAAACAUCAACAAGAGACAUAGAAGAGUGAUAAACAGCCAAAAACCAUCAAUAAGCCUAUAGCAAUCAUACCUGAGGGAGUCUACUUUUUCAACAAAACCAGCAAGACUCCAAGUUUUACUCCAGAAAAAUCAGUCUGCUACCCUGCUUCCGGCCAAGCUUCCUCCUCUAACUCAGAGAACCUCUCUGGAAGCUCUCAACAGCAGCCUAGAAAAUUUUUGGUUCCCUCCUCUUACCCUCGUUUCUCUCUCAAACUAAACGGCCACAAAAAUCCCCCCUCAACCUCUCUGUCAAAAACUCCUCCUAUAGCAGCCUUCUCUCCAAGCUAUCUCUCAGAAAAACCACCGGAAUCUCACUCUC